rnacentral:sRNA from 1 species
AUUUGCUUAAUGCUCUAACCGUGGCAAGCUUGGCUGGAAGGCAGGCUACACAUAGCAGGGAAGAGGGUAGACUCCAUGAGGAGAUGGGGCAGGAUCCAGGGUGUGGUAGCCGACUUAGAGCACACUUCCCUUGAAAAUAUGGGACAAAUAUUUAAUAACGAACAUUGGUCGGAGCCACAAGUGAGUAAAGAGCUAGAUGUUUCCAGGCGGUCGCGGGUCUCAGCGUUUGGGUAAUGGCAGCCCUCUGCUUCCAGAGCGUCUGUCCAAUUCGCAGCACAACUUCACAGGGCAGAGGGAUCAAAGUCCGAGAGUUGACAAGCCAGUAAAACUUAAGAAAGGCACCCGCGUCUCAGCCAACUGGGCUGGGAUCCACCACUAGGAUUUAGUUCUUGCAAGAGAGUCAGACUCCAACUCCGGGACAGAAGCAGAGAUGCUCUCUAUAAAGCCGUGGAGGGGAAAAACAGGCUCAGCCCUUGGAAACAUGAGCCUGGCUUCAACUCGACUCUUGGUCGCCGCCGUAUACCUGACUUGGUGAAGAAGAAAGGAAAGCAAACAUCUCCCAGCAGAAUGAUCGAGCGCAAAGCGUUCAAAACUUGCAAUUCUGACAGACAGUCCUCGAGGGAAGGUGGGGUUCAUGGUUUUUGAGGGGUUUUUGCCCAUCGUGAUAUGGGAAGGACAGAAGAGAAGUUCAGGUCAGGGUGGUCAAAGCUGCUGAUACUGCCACAGACCAGUGUGCAGAGUGGUCAGGACCCUGAGCUGGGGGAAUGGUCAAAGGCACACUCCUAGAGACCAACUUGUGCUCGCUGAUCCCUGCCUCUUGAAAGUUCCACAGCCUCUCAGAAUAGUGCCCCCUGCUGGGAAGGAAGAAUUCAAGACGUGAACCUGGCGGGUGGGGCUUGGGGGGUGGAUUUCAGAUUGAAACUAGAACAGAAGGCCCAGAAAAGGGAGGUCGGUGAGAGUCUGUAUUCUUAAUUCAGGACGGCUUACAAAUAUGACUAGUUAAUUUAUAAGAUGUAAACUAAUACUUAAAAAAAAAAGAAUUUAGCAAACCAGACAGGGAAUUUCAGGACGGCAGUGACCUUUGUGCUUGCUGAGGCAUCGUAGGCGACAGUCUGCUGGAGUCCGGGAAGCCAUCUGCAGCUAGAGGGACCCUGCAGCUAGGGGGACAAUGAGCUGUCUGUCUCCUCCUCUACCUCCAGCUCUCCCUUGAGGGUUUGCGUUGGCAGAAUCUAAGCAGGAAUUUCUGGGAAAUUUAGUUUCCAGAUGUUACAGCCCCUGUGAGUCAGGACACAGAAGGGGAAAGAGCUACCAUGGCCACGGGGCCCAAGUGAAAGACAUCAAUUAUUUUAGGGUGAUGUCAGAGAAAGUGGGUCGCAGUGGAAAUGGAGCUCGGCGAGGCCGAGUCUGGGUGGAAGGACUGUGGGGAAGCAACACCCCUGCAGACAGGAACUGUGAGACACGCUAGGCAGAGUGACAAGGAGGUUGAAAUGCCACAACCUUCGAGAGUGACAGAUGCUCUUUGUUUUAAAGAGCUCAGUAGCGUGUAUAUAGAAAAUAAAGGCACCGUGGAUGGGACAAGGGGACUGUAAGAACCUGUCCCCCACUCUUGCUGAUAGUUUGAAAGCAUUCUGUGAAAUAAAUAUUCUUCUUCCAGACUAGGCAAAAAUGAAAACGGUUAGCAUUUGGACCUCGGUGUUGGAACUGGAGGUUAGAAGGUAGAAAUGUGGGAGGGAGUUAGACCAGAAGUUGACGGAACUUGGCAAGGUGAGUAGCAGGAGGAAGGCAGGAGCAACCAGGACUCCACAGUCUGUGGGGUGCGUAGCAUUGUGAACGGGCACCAUGAAUUGAGACAUGGCCAUAAAAAAAGUCGGAGCAGUUCCCUUUGGGAUGUGUUCUGUGUUAGGAUGUGAAACUACAGACAUCAAUAAUCAAGACAGAGGUGGUGGUGUGUCGUGUCCCCCCCACCCGCUUCCUGCUGAACAUACAUGACACCUUUGCAUACAAAGGGAAGUAUAACUCUCUACGUGUGAGUUUGGCCACAGUCACAGAAAAGAACUGAUUGAUAUCUAUCAAAGAUAUUUCCCCAUCUUAUUCCCCGAUGGAGCUUGAUGCUUGAAAUCCAACACGUGGUACUUCAAACUCCUGGCUUUAAGUUAAGGCACCUUAAAGGUUUGUGCUGCCCAUCUACCUGUGGUGUGGCGUGCUGAGACUUGCUUUGUCACACGUACCCUGAAAACAAUCAGUGCAUAUACACACACUAGUGCUGCUAUAUGGCCAGAGCUCGCAGCAUGGCCUAUUACAUGAUUUUUCCAGAAAGAUGAUAACAGGCAUCACACCAGACAGGGCAUCAGUGUCAGGUCACAGAAAUUACUCUACUAAAUUCCAGCUUGAGGAACCAAGGAAUCUUUUGGGGUUAUAUACAGCAACGUAGCAAGGGGCUCCUUGAAAGAACCUGAGUGGCUUAAAAGCAGCUGUACCCCCCAAAAUGACCCACCAGAGCUUCGUCCCCGGGACUCCCCACCUAUCUCAAAGGUAACCCCUUAGAGAGUCUCGUCUUGAGCAACAAUUAAUUAUUGCUUAUAUAACCCAGAGUGGGGCCUGUCCUGUUAACUUCUGCUGUCAACCUGACAGCCCAGAGUCAUCUCAGAGAGGCUCCAUUGGGGAAUCAGAUCGAUCAAAUUGUCCUGUGGCCAUGUCUAUGAGGAAGUCUUUUAGUUGUGGAUUAUUGUCAGAGGGCACAGUCCCCUGUGGGUGGUGCCAUUCCUUAGCAGAUGGUUCUGGGCUAUCUAACAAAGCUGGCUGAGCAUGAGGGAGAGAGAGAGAGUAAACCAGCAUGCAGUGUUCCUCCAUGCAACUCUGCUCCAGAUUCCUGCCUCUCGAGAGGUCCUGCACCGGCUUCCCUCCGAGAUGAACUUCUACCUGGGAGUGUCUAUUGGAACAAACACUUCCCUCCCCAAGUUGUUUUUGGUCAUGGUGUUUAACAGAAUGACAUAAAGGAAGCUAGAGGAAGGCAUAUUCCUACUAAGUCUUGUAAGCUUCCUGGGCCUGCUAAAUUUUAUGGGUUUGUGAGUUUUGCUAGCUCCUUGUGUCUUAUGAGCUCCUGUCCUCUCUUAACUCUCCAGGAGGACAUGUUUCAGUUCGGGGGCAAUAGCUACACAGUAGUGCCCAUGAUGAGCCAGAGCUAGAAGAAUCACUGGCCCCUACAUAAAGCCCUGAUUGUCAGAGAGACAGGAGGUCUUCAUGAGUCUGGGGAAACUUGCUGUGACUUACUUUGUCCUCUGUCUUCAUAGGCUCCCUGCCUGCUCUAUCUAUUUUUUCUUCUAUUUCUUUAACAACUUGAUUGUUGAAACCCCAGGAAAUUCUAAGCCCAUUUCUCCCAUCAAAAUGAAAGGAACUUAUUGAUGAAAUCAUGAGUCCAUUAAGAUUGAGUGGUACAUCUCCAUUAGGGCCACGAUUUGCAUCAUAAAACAGAUUAACAUGAAAGGUGGAAGCACUCUUCUUGGAGAGGAAAUGCACAAAAGAAUCUUUUAGGGCCUUCCGAAUUAAAGCAGAAUAAACACUCCACCAGGCACAGAGAGAAGGCAAGGGACAGGGGGGAAGGUUUCGACAGAGCCAAGCAAGACUGAAGACCUGCAGCCACAUAAGUGGUGUGACUCAUAGCUUAGUUGUGGGUAGACAGCAGAAGCCAGGGAACAUUCGGAGCUGAAAGAAACACUCGUAUUAAACAUUCUGCUGGAGCAAGGGUUCCCACUGCAGUGUGCUUACAGAGCCCUGCUCUGAAGUAUGCCUGGGCCGGCCGUUCUCGCUACUUUAAUGGAGUUGCUGAGAACCACCCUCUUGCCCGGCUAAGAGCCUGUGGUUCUGAGUGGAUGAGAGUGCUGUUCUCCUCAACCUUCCUCAGAAUGUUGAGAGGACAGUUCUGUGACAAGAGCUUUGCCAUGUGGCCUCCCCAGGAAUCUAGAUUGUUCCGGAUGAUCAAAGGAUAAUGAAAUAAACCCUACAUUAAUAGAGCACAGGGUUCUGGGAGUGUGUUGGGGGGCGGGGAUGACGUCUUCUCUUGCCUAUCAAGCUGGUGCUGUUUGUGUGUGUAUCACUUGCUUAGCAGCAUCAAGACCUUUAGCUAAAAGGAGAGGCUGGCUUAAAGGAUUGGAGCACCCGGGGGAUUCGCUGUUUGAUGGAAACAGGUCAGAGAAAGGAGCAAGAGAAUGAUCGGCCGUCUUACUCUUCUGGUGGGGUCUCUUUGCUCAUGUGUGAGAGGCAGUUCAUGCCAGCUCACAGACAUCAAGCAGAAUUUCUUCCUAAUUCCCCCACUCAGUGACUUCAUAGGAGGUUGGCACUGGCUAGGAUAGGAAUGUUUACAUUGCCAGAAUUGGCAGAUGUCACAAACCAGGGUGUUUUUUUCUCCCCUACUGUGGUUGCCUUGUUUUCUCCCCUAGAAAAUUUAUCGUUAAAUAUUUAUCAGCAUUCUCCUGGAAUUUGAUUGAAAGAUAAUUUGGCCAUCAAAGCAGCCACACGGCCUUCUGAAACUCUGGCUGAAAGCUUUCUGAGCACAGCAAGGGUCAAACAAGUGACCGGGCGGAGCUCGGCGGAAUUUGGAAAAAGGGAAAGGAUUCUUGGAAUACACGCCUGUGUGACAUACUCACCCAUGAACACUCACCUGAGGGUCAGUGCUCACAGGGUGACAUGGUAGGCACCUCUCGAAAGUUGUAAAGGGACCUUUAGGAAUGUGGCCACGAGAUGGACACUACUUAGACAUGAUGUGGGCCUCUUUCUCAUUGGACCAGGGACUUCAGAUAAAGGAUAAGACCCAGGAGGCUGGGCCUCAGAAGGACCAAUUUACAGGGCAUUUUGAUAGUGAACCAAUUAACCUCUUCUACCUAUAGGGCUCAGACAAAAGAUAGUUGGGCUCAGGAUGCAUUCUGGGAGCACUGCCGCGUGUGGGUGGUAAUGAUGUGUCAGAAGUUCUUUUUCAGAUGGGCUAAGUAGACUCCAGUCCUAUAUGGAAUGUCCGAGGCUGUGUCAGAGAAACACAAAGGUCUCUUCUGCCUCCCUUCCUGGGUUCUAGGAUUCUUCUGAAAAGAACCCUAAUGCUAACUAGAAGGUAGAAGAGUGGAAGCCCAGACACAGAUUAAGGAGUACACAUAGGUUCGGCCACAAUGGAGAUCAGGGAGGGAGGAUCUUCAACAAACUAAGAAAGAACCAGUGUAUGGCCCACUACAGCGUGUCCAGGUUAUUUACCUGAGGGACCGUAAGCCAACCUAUCACCCUGUGAACACUGCUGUGAGUUCACAAUUAUGGCUGAGUUAUGUACGGAAGCAAGAGAAGCGUCCGUCAACAAAUGACAGGGUUAAAUGGAGUGUGUGUGUAUAACGAAACUUUAGUCAGCUCUAAGGAAGAGCAGAAUCAUGCUGUUUGUUGAAGAACGGGUGUGACAGAAACUAACUAUAUGAAAUAAGUCAGCAAGAUAAGUGUCACACAUUUUUAGUCCUUUUGCACAUCCUUGGGUACACACACACACACAACACACCCUCACACACACUAAGGAAAAAAAAACUGGCUUCGAAGGACAAAAGGAGGCUACGAAAGGAAACAUAUUUGUUCGACUUUGAGGAAGAAGCCGAUUUGUCUGAAGGAGUCUGGGGACAGCCCUGCCUUUGUCUGAUAAGCCCUCUCUGCAAGUCCCUGUAAGCCAUAUGUGUUUAAGAUGUAGAGGAUCAGCUCAGGGGAUCAGCGCACAGCCCUGGAAGCGUUAGCAUGCGCUUCCUACUUUAAGCAGCUGUCUGGCAAAAUGGUCUGUCACUGUCAUAGGGCAGCCGAGCAUGAGAGUGCUUUGACAGUGCGAGUCUGUCUCAAUCCUUCCACCCAAACUCAAAGGAACGUCUUCCCAAAGGCCGAGGGCAGCCAUUCUUUGCAGCGGGAGUAAGCUCGGCUGAUGGCUUAAUCUGGAAGCCAAUUGGCUUUCAAGGAGACAUAACUCACUCCAUAUUUAGAGAAACGUUUGGAGUCUAUUGGGACUGCUUCGGGAGGGGAUUUGAAAACUUUGAAAAGGAACCUGAUAUGAACACUGACCGACUGGAAGACCUUCUGUCUUUCACAAGUGGGCACGUACCUGGCAGCCCUUGCUGGCUUGGCUUCAACUCCUAGAUCCCGGAUCAUGGAAGCCCUGGAGGGUCUGGCAGUUGGUUCCGGAGUCAACAAGAAGCAGGCAGCCACCACCAACCUAGAAGUAUUAUCAUGGUUUAACAGCAAUCCAAGCAAUGUCUCUGCUCCUGAAAUGGAACCUGGGCCUUGUUGGACGACGUGGGACAAAGGAGAGAGGCAGGUCCACUGUGGGGUCUGUCUGUGUUUAUAUGGUUGGCAGAGCGCGCUUUGAUGUCACCCUGAUGACGUCUGUCAUCUUCCCCACACCUGCUAUGGCAUGGCUGCCUUCAGUCACAAGCCUGAUUCACAGCACACUCUAUGUUUAGCAGCGCUCUGAGAAGGAUUCCAGUCUGCCUUCAGCCCUAAAUAGCUACAAAUAUCAGAGUAGCAGCGGCAGCCCUUCAAAGGCCUUUUUGGGAAGUGUCAUGCCAGAGAUGGGGUGACACAGAGGAGCCCCAGAAAGAAGCAAGAUGUCACCUGGAAACUGGAGGGAAAAAGAAGAAAUGAACCAGCGUCGACUGCUAAGAAGGUGAAGAAAUGAACCAGCGUCGACUGCUAAGAAGGUGAAGAAAUGAACCAGCGUCGACUGCUAAGAAGGUGAUAAAGUUGACCAUCUGUUCCUCAGUUACUUAUAGCACGGUCAUCGUCUGGAAAGUUGGAGACAAUGACUAGAAGACAAUGAAGGGACGAAAUACAAGGUGUCUGGUGCAGACUGAUAUGGCCAGGCACGUAAUUAAUGCCUCUUUAAAAGUGAACAAAAGCAGAGCAAGAAGUAAAAAACAAAGCGAUUACGCAUCAGCUGCUGAAACACUGUGUCCUAGCUUAAACGAGGCUGGAAAAAUGCUUCCACAGAGAACAGGAUGCUUGAGGACUCUAGCCUUUUCCCGGAGGGGCUGUAAUGGCUCCAGCCUCGCAGACGGGCUGCGCAGCGGCGCCAGCGAGCUCUGCUGCCCCCUGCUGGACGGAACGCGGGACUCGCGCCAGCCAGUCUGCGAGGCUCCCGCUGGCUCCCUGGGGACCCAGCACUCCUCCAGCAGGUUAUGCAACACCAGCUCACUUCAGGAAAGGAAACCAUCGACUUCAUGGAGCUUCCAAUGAGCCAGUGUUAAGAGUAAGGCGGAGACUAGAAAAUAGCACGCAUGUGUCCAGCCUUGGAGGCGCGUGUGUAAGGGGAGUGGACUAACUGAAAGGAAGCAGUGUAAAGAUUAGCCGCAGGGUAUGGUCUUCUAGUGACGCCGCACCUCAUGACCAGCUACUGACAUGGUGGGCGGCAGUGCUUCAUUUCCGGAGUGCAGCCCCAUCUUCUAGCUCCUUCAAGGUUAUAGAUCUUCUAGCUGUGUGACCUUCAAGGUUUUAAACUCUGACUGUUGGUGAACCAUAUCCAGUGGGUUGGUCUUUCCUAACAAGACACACAGUGAAGGCUUUAUAGAGAGGCAUAUUAAGGUGGAGCAGGGCUAUUCCCUCCUUUUACUGUUCAGAAAUAAUAAACAUUUUGAUAUUUCCAGUAUUCGUCCGGAUCACCAUAUCUUUAGAGGAAUUUUUCUUCUAUUUGGACCGACCCUUUGGAGUUUUACCUUUUGGGGUUUUACUGAUGUGAAGGAGGGGUCGUGGUGGUGGUGGCCGUUCACUCUUGUCCAAUCUGGAUGUGGAUUAAUGGUGUUUUCCAGCCCAUAAAAUAUUUUAAAAUUUUUAUUUCACACGGGGUUAUGAAGCAUCGCUGCCUUUACGACAGCUCGACUGGAACUUUCAAAAUUAAAAAUGACAGGAACUGAAAGUUGUCAUAGAGAUUCCAAGGCACUACCAUUCUCUUAUUCUGUAGACGAUGUUCUGCGCUUUUCAACCAAGUAAGAAUAGAUCUCUGGAGAUGAGAAGAUGACCACCACGUGUCUUUUCCCAGUCUUUGGAUGGUACCUUUCACAUCCUGGAAGGGAGAAAGCUGAGUCACCACCACAGAGUCUGAACCUGAUUAUCAUAUUCAGUAGCCACUGCCAAGCAUACAUUAGCACCUCUCCCAGAACUACUCUCUGUCUGCACAGGGCACCUGGACACUCUGCUCAUGAGAAUGCAAUACCCAACAUGAGUCAAGAAAGCCCAAAGACGUCCACCCUGAUCUGGUGAUAGAUGACACCUGACCUCCUUAGCCAAUAUGCAGACUGAGACUGUAUCUGGCAGAGUUUCUGGCUGCAGAACCCUUGACCGUCAGAAGUGAAUGAAAGUUUGGUAAGCUGUGCUGGAGCACUGCCAGUGUGCGGUGCUGUGAGCCGCCCUCACAGGAUUUCAGGGAAGAACUGUGGGGAGGAGGCACUGAAUGCCUUAGAUGCAGCGGGGAGAAAACCCUUCCUCCUACACCCUUAAAACAGAGCGAAAGGAAACAAAAUAAUAAAACUAAUAACAAAAUAACAAAAUAAUACCCCCCCACAAGCUACACCCUUACUUUUCUGGUCUCACCUGCUGCUUUCCUUAGGAGAUAGUUUCAAUGGAAAAGAUUCUAAAGUUCAUGUGUUCGAAAGCUUCUUGACCUUGCAGUUGGCGAUGAUCUUUGGGGGGUUAUGGAACUGUGGCUGGGGUCACUGGGAGCCAGGUCUUUGGGGUCACAGCUCUGCCCUAUUUUUGGACCCAGUCUCUCUGUGUGUCAUCUGUCAAGAAGUGAGCAAGCUCUCCUACACUCCUUCUGCUCUGGUUCACCUCCACCAAUACCCGUACUCUCAACCCAGGGGUGAAAAUUCCUUUCUCCUUCAGUGUGCUUCUUCCUGGGCAUUUGGUAGCAGCAAUUUCAAAAGCUAAGCUACCUUACUAGUAUGAGCUUCAGUGGUUUACACCAGGUAGGUCGAGGGAAAGGUAAAACUUGGGAUUUGCUCAAAACAUGGCCACACACACACACACACCUGAUGCUCGACACACACAGCCAGGCACACCUGAUGCCAGAAAGGGUGAGGUGGGGAUGUCAGAAAGUCCUGGGAGGAACCCAGGCUGUGUUCUAGGCACAUAUCUAUAGCUCAUAGUUUGUGUGUUCUUGGAAGACACAGAAGUAUUAUAAACUCGUAAAUAGAAUUGCAUAAGACUGUACUCAUGACAUAAAUGAUUCCUCACACGAGCGAACCAAGAAAGCCCAAAGAUGUCUACCCUGAACUGCAGAUAAAACAUCAUCAGACCUCCUUAGUUAGACGCCGCUGACACACAUUCGGAGAUCUUAUCCGGCAGAGUUUCCAGGCGUACGGAAGGUGGAUUGAGUUCAGGAUGAAUGAACUAUUGAACAGUGGAGCUCAGGGAGUGGGCGAUGGAUUAGUGGACAAAAAUAGCCCUGGACACCUGUGUAAAUCCUUGGUGAUCUGAUCUACGCCAUAAAAACCAGACAGUGGGCAUCUGUAACUCAUAAUAAGUCCUUUCUAACAUCACUGAGGUUAUCUUAAAGAGCCUCUUGGUGCUCCCCUCCCCCAUAGCUUUAGAGUGGGGCCAGGCUGCUAACUGCGCCAACGCUGCAUUUGGAGGGCUGUGACUUGCAGCCUGACCUCCUGGAACUGAGUGGAGCAGCAAUCAACAAUGACUUUGUAAGCUGAUCCCUGCUACAGACCGUACAAAAUCCUCAACGGGGAGAGCUGCUUACCUACAGAGGUCACAGGAGCUCUGUGCUCACCACCCCUAAUGCCCGUGUUCCUUGAAGUUGGCUGUUCCUGAGUUGUAUCUUUUGAAGUGAACUGACAUUGAUUCCUUUGGAAACUUGGAUGGCAUCGUUUAAUCUGUGGAGUGGGAAAAAGGAGACGAAGGAAGGAAGAGGAGAGGAGACCAUAAAGUUGCUAGAAUAGGAGGGCCUCUCCCAGAAUACUCCACACAACAGAUGGUUGAUCUACACCAGGAAACACCCAAAGAAGAAGACCAAGGCCACCACAGGCGGCAACUUGCCUACUCACCAGGGUCCAAGGAAGACCUCCAUCCCAUGGUGGGUAGAGUCCACAUGUGGGUCUCUGGGCUCUCUUCUCUGGUCUUCCUGUCCUCGUUGCUUUACUAAGGGAGACCUGUGAGCAACAGUGUUUUAACGCACGUUAUAGACGACACCGGAGUGUGGCUCUCACCAAAGCGUGUGCCUGACGUGAAGUGUGCCAGACUCCACGAGAAGUGUGUCUGGGCCAACUGACAGCAGUGGCUCUGGCUUUGACACGGCUCUCAGCACUCCCAUUCUGUUCCGAGAGGCCAGGAAGCAGAUGGAGAGAGAAUAAGCAAUGCAGUGGGAUGUCUACAUCUUGGCAGUCAGUUCACGGCGAGCUAUGUUUCUCAAGCUAUUAAGAUACAUGAUGCUACCUGUACAUUUAAUCUCUAAUCAAGUAUGUAAUUUUUUUAUUGCCUAGGGUAUGUCUAUGCAGUUGAAAGCAAAAACCUGUGUUCUAUCUUUAAAGAAAAAAUAAAACAACAACAAUAACAACCACAACACCCCUGUAAAAUCAAGAGAGAGGGAGCAAGAAGUUGGGUGGGUGGUGAGGUGGGGGAGAAUCGGGGAACAAUGGAGGAGGAAAACAAUAUAAUCAAAACAUACUGUAUGGAAAUUAAAUGUCCACCCUGCUCCUUGUGAAGUUUGCUUCCUUCACAGUGAUGUGAAGGGAACAGUGAUAUGCUUCCCCAAGGGGCACGAAGGAGAGGUGCUCUGAGAAAGUGACAUAAACAGGGAAGAUUUUUCUUCUUUGUAGAGAAGGGCGUUAGAGUACAGCAUUGUGAGAUUGCUCAGUGUGUGCACAGAGUACAGCAUUGUGAGGUUACUCAGUGUGUGCACAGAGUACUGCAUCAUCAGAUUACUCAGUGUGUGCACAGAGUACUGCAUUGUGAGAUUACUCAGUGUGUGCACAGAGUACUGCAUUGUGAGAUUACUCAGUGUGUGCACAGAGUACAGCAUUGUGAGAUUACUCAGUGUGUGCACAGAGUACAGCAUUGUGAGAUUACUCAGUGUGAGCACAGAGUACUGCAUUGUGAGAUUACUCAGUGUGAGCACAGAGUACUGCAUCAUCAGAUUACUCAGUGUGAGCACAGAGUACUGCAUCAUCAGAUUACUCAGUGUGUGCACAGAGUACUGCAUUGUGAGAUUACUCAGUGUGUGCACAGAGUACUGCAUUGUGAGAUUACUCAGUGUGUGCACAGAGUACUGCAUCAUCAGAUUACUCAGUGUGUGCACAGAGUACUGCAUCAUCAGAUUACUCAGUGUGAGCACAGAGUACUGCACUGUGAGAUUACUCAGUGUGUGCACAGAGUACUGCAUUGUGAGAUUACUCAGUGUGAGCACAGAGUACUGCAUUGUGAGAUUACUCAGUGUGUGCACAGAGUACAGCAUUGUGAGAUUGCUCAGUGUGUGCACAGAGUACUGCACUGUCAGAUUGUUCAGUGUGUGUCAAACCAGCUUUAGCAGCACUGAGAGAGAACUGACUUCAUUAACACUGGAGAUCUUGGAGACAGAUCAAGUACUCCUAUGCAGGGCAACACAAGGCACUGCAUUGAAGGAAGUCUUCCAAGAGCAGAGAAAUUCUCUCCUGGACACUACUUCCACAGAAUUUUCAGAUAGUUCCAUUUAACUUCCAAGUUCGUUGAUCAACUGUCAUGGGGAGAAGGGAUAGACGUCACGGAGCAUUGUGUCAUUAACAUUCGUUGCUGAAGAAGACUGGGAAGCAAUUCUAAAUUUGCAGCAGCCACGAGGUCCAUGGGCAGAGGUGGACAGAAGUGAGGACUGUCCAAAUGGUGGACUGCUUUGAGCAAGUGAAUGAGUCGUUGCAACUCCACAACUGGGUACGAUAAAAACGCUUCCAUAAACAAUGUAAAAUCAACUGGGUAAGGCGUAAUCCCAUUUAUUUACAGUUCAAAAAUAAACAAAGCGAGUCGCUGACAUCUGAAGUGAGAAGAGAUACCCGCCAUGGGCGAGCUUAGUGAAGAUUCAGCUUCAGGCGUUAGGGAUGGUUUCGUCCCUGAUGGGUUGUUGGUUACGAGCACAUGUUUGUUCUCCACGAGCAUACAUUUUAUUUCUGAGUCGUGUAUAUUUUUUUCUUCAUCCUGAAUCAGCAAAACAGUUACAAGCAAGCAAUGUCAACAUAGUUUCUUUUGCAUGUAUUAAAGUUUGGACCGUUCAGUCAAUCGUUUAAAGGACUAGGUAUGUGGGAGGAAGUGGCCCACAAAGGCUGAAGAGUUAAGUAUUUAAAGACUCAGAAUUACUUGAGAUAGUGAAAAAACGUUAGAGAGAAAAAUUUGAGCUUGGCUUCGUAGUCUAAAUUUCUUUGUCAGUAAAAACCUUCAUUUGUGGUAAAAUUUGGGCAGGGGAGUAAUGGUAUUUGAUAAGGGGUGGGGAAGAAUGUGAACUCAAAAUUAUAACCCAUUUUCUUUCUUUUUAACAUUUUCAGGUCAACACCAAACGUUUAGGUUCUGUGUGAUCAAAAUAGAAGGUCUUCACGUAUAUGGACCUGUCCUCCGCUAAGAUGUAAUUAUCAGUUGAUCAGGUUGAAAGACGGCUGAGUAGAUCCGGCACUAACAACAGAAUCAUCACACCAUGGAGAAACAAAUGUUCUAACAAUGUUCAUAACUCUACACGAUCCUUUCCUUUUUCACCACAAUCUAUGCUUCCCCAUCUGGCAGACAAGUAUGGAUCCCUUUCAACAUGGUAGGUAACAUUCCAGAUUGGAUAAUAAAAGUCUCUGUGGGAGAA